AUACGGACCUGAUCGAGCCGACGCGGAGACCUACGGUGGCCGUCGCAAUCCCGACUGAUUUCGAUGUGAACGGCCGGCUCUGCGCCACCCUGCCAACCGCGCAGCCGACCCACUUGCCCGUGC
rnacentral:misc_RNA from 1 species